rnacentral:rRNA from 1 species
AGUGAACGCUGGCGGUAGGCCUAACACAUGCAAGUCGAACGGCAGCACAGUAAGAGCUUGCUCUUACGGUUGGCGAGUGGCGGACGGGUGAGGAAUACAUCGGAAUCUACUUUUUCUUGGGGGAUAACGUAGGAAAACUGAUGCUAAUACCGCAUACGACCUACGGGUGAAAGCAGGGGAUCUUCGGACCUUGCGCGUUUGUAUGAGCCGAUGUCGGAUUAGCUAGUUGGCGGGGUAAAGGCCCACCAAGGCGACGAUCCGUAGCUGGUCUGAGAGGAGGAUCAGCCACACUGGAACUGAGACACGGUCCAGACUCCUACGGGAGGCCGCAGUGGGGAAUAUUGGACAAUGGGCGCAAGCCUGAUCCAGCCAUACCGCGUGGGUGAAGAAGGCCUUCGGGUUGUAAAGCCCUUUUGUUGGGAAAGAAAAGCAGCAGGUUAAUACCCCGCUGUUCUGACGGUACCCAAAGAAUAAGCACCGGCUAACUUCGUG